CUUUCCCCGCACACCCGACGCCGAAACCUUUCUCCCCGCGCGUCCUUCUCUUCUUCCCCACGCGAACCCGUGCCCUAACUGCCUCUCCCCAACCGGCGACGCAAAAUCGCCAUUUCCCCUCGCCUCUCCUCCUCUUAUCUUCUCUGUGAGCCACUCUGUCCAAAUCCUUUUCGGCGCCGGAGCAAUUCUUCUCGGCCGGUGAAGCCUCGUGAGCCGAAGCAGUGGUGUCGCCACCCUUCUAUUCCGCGACGCUGGUGCCUCCUCUCGGCCCGUCCACCCCCGCCGGCCACCAGGUCCGACCCAGCGCCGCGGCGACUUCCUCUGCCCUAGCACCCUCUGUCUAUCACGGCGACGCCACUUUGCCCUAGCCGUUGCAGUAAAGGGGGAAAAUCUUGUUGUUUCUCUGGUCUCCUUCGAUUUCUUAACAUCGUUCUUCUUUCGGUCUCGGUAAUAAGCAGCGAAGAGGCGUGGGAUCUGUUCCACACCAGCCAUUUGGGUGAAGGGAUAGCUAUUGUCUUCACCAACUGUUGUCCGAUCUUCUUCUCUGUUCCGGCUCGGCACCAUUGUGGCAUUUGGAUUUCACCAGAGGAAGCUUCAGACCUGUUUGGGCUUUAGCUAUUCUUAUUGAGGAUGAUCCACAGCUUCGGACAUAACUUCCAGCAGCAAGAUCUGUGUUUGUGAGUUGGCAGGAAGAUACUUAGAGUGAGUGAAGAAUUUCAGCAGCCAACAACCCUUGACGGCAGUAAUUCCAGCCAGCAACUCUUUGAUUCCAGUACAAACCAGUGGCUGUGAAUUUAGGACUUUGAUUCGAGACGAUGUCUCGACGAGGGAUCUAUUUCGGAUUGGACCAUUUCUUAUU